UGAGUGGAGAGUUUGAUCCCGGCUCAGGAUAAACGCUGGCGGCGUGCCUUAUGCAUGCAAGUCGAACGGUCAUGGUUUCGAUCAUGAUAGUGGCAAACGGGUGAGUAACACGUAAGUUACCUGCCCCCAGGUAGGGGAUAACUCUGAGAAAUCGGGGCUAAUACCGUAUGUGGUGACGGUUGUAAUGGCCGUCAAGAAAGCCUUCGGGCACCUGGGGAUGGGCUUGCGCCCGAUUAGCUAGUUGGUGGGGUAACGGCUCACCAAGGCGAUGAUCGGUAGCUGGUCUGAGAGGAUGGUCAGCCACACUGGGACUGAGACACGGCCCAGACUCCUACGGGAGGCAGCAGCAAGGAAUAUUGGACAAUGGGCGAAAGCCUGAUCCAGCGACGCCGCGUGGGGGAUGAAGGGCUUCGGUUCGUAAACCCCUUUUCCCGGGGAUGAAUGAUGACAGUACUCGGGGAAUAAGCCACGGCUAACUACGUGCCAGCAGCCGCGGUAAUACGUAGUGGCGAGCGUUAUCCGGAUUUAUUGGGCGUAAAGUGGGCGCAGGCGGUUCUUCAAGUCGGACGUAAAAUCUCCCGGCUCAACUGGGAGGGACCGUCCGAUACUGUUGAACUAGAGGGCAACAGAGGGGGGUAGAAUUCCCGGUGUAGUGGUGGAAUGCGUAGAUAUCGGGAGGAAUACCAGUGGCGAAAGCGGCCCCCUGGGUUGUCACUGACGCUGAUGCCCGAAAGCGUGGGGAGCAAACAGGAUUAGAUACCCUGGUAGUCCACGCCAUAAACUAUGGACACUGGGUGCAGGGAGUAUCAACCCUUUCUGUGCCGAAGCUAACGCGUUAAGUGUCCCGUCUGGGAAGUACGGCCGCAGGGCUAAAACUCAAAGGAAUUGACGGGAGCCCGCACAAGCAGCGGAGCGUGUGGUUUAAUUCGACCAAAGCGAAGAACCUUACCAAGGCUUGACAUGUCGGAAGUAGGAACCCGAAAGGGGGACGACCCGUUAAGUCGGGAACCGUCACAGGUGCUGCAUGGCUGUCGUCAGCUCGUGCCGUGAGGUGUUUGGUUAAGUCCUGCAACGAGCGCAACCCCCGUUGCCAGUUACACUCUCUGGCGAGACUGCCCUGCAAAACGGGGAGGAAGGUGGGGAUGACGUCAAGUCAGCACGGCCCUUAUGCCUUGGGCUACACACACGCUACAAUGGGUGGUACAGUAGGUUGCAAUAGAGCGAUCUGGAGCUAAUCCCUAAAGCCAUCCUCAGUUCGGAUUGCAGGCUGAAACUCGCCUGCAUGAAGUUGGAGUUGCUAGUAACCGCAUGUCAGCACAGUGCGGUGAAUACGUUCUCGGGCUUUGUACGCACCGCCCGUCACGUCAUGAAAGUUGGCAACGCCUGAAGUCGAUGGGCUAACCCCGUUCGCGGGGAGGCAGUCGCCGAAGGCGGGGCUGAUGAUUGGGACGAAGUCGUAACAAGGUAGCCGUAGCGGAAGCUGCGGCUGGAUCACCUCCUAU
rnacentral:rRNA from 1 species